GCACGAGUCUUUGGGGGGGAUCCUGAUAU
rnacentral:sRNA from 1 species